rnacentral:rRNA from 1 species
GAUGAACGCUAGCGGCAGGCUUAAUACAUGCAAGUCGUGGGGCAGCAGGUUUGUAGCAAUACAGAUGCUGGCGACCGGCAAACGGGUGCGGAACACGUACACAACCUUCCUUUAAGUGGGGAAUAGCCCAGAGAAAUUUGGAUUAAUACCCCGUAACAUUAUGAUGUGGCAUCACAUUAUAAUUAUAGCUACGGCGCUUAAUGAUGGGUGUGCGGCUGAUUAGGUAGUUGGCGGGGUAACGGCCCACCAAGCCUGCGAUCAGUAACUGGUGUGAGAGCAAGACCAGUCACACGGGCACUGAGACACGGGCCCGACUCCUACGGGAGGCAGCAGGAAGGAAUAUUAGGCAAUGGAGGAAACUCUGACCCAGCCAUGCCGCGUGGAGGAUGAAGGUCCUCUGGAUUGUAAACUUCUUUUAUAUGGGACGAAAAAGGGUCUUUCUAGGUCAACUGACGGUACCAUAUGAAUAAGCACCGGCUAACUCCGUGCCAGCCGCCGCCGUAACAC